CGGGGGCGGGGGCUUCGGCCCGACCUCGCACCGGAUCGAGCGGCGGCGCGACGGGCAGCCCAUCGUCGACGGCGGUUCGGCCCCGCCGCCCCCCGC
rnacentral:tRNA from 1 species